rnacentral:rRNA from 1 species
GGCGGACGGGUGAGGAAUACGUAGGAAUUUGCCUUAGAGCGGGGGAUAGCCCAGGGAAACUUGGAGUAAUACCGCAUGAUGUCGAAAGACCAAAGCAGGGGACCGCAAGGCCUUGCACUCUGAGAGAAGCCUACGUCUGAUUAGCUAGUUGGUAGGGUAAUGGCCUACCAAGGCGACGAUCAGUAACUGGUCUGAGAGGACGAUCAGUCACACCGGAACUGAGACACGGUCCGGGCUCCUACGGGAGGCAGCAGUGGGGAAUAUUGGACAAUGGGCGCAAGCCUGAUCCAGCAAUGCCGCGUGUGUGAAGAAGGCCUUCGGGUUGUAAAGCACUUUAAGCAGGGAAGAAAAAACUCGGGCUAAUACUCUGAGUCUUGACGGUACCUGAAGAAUAAGCACCGGCUAACUCUGUGCCAGCAGCCGCGGUAAUACAGAGGGUGCAAGCGUUAAUCGGAUUUACUGGGCGUAAAGCGUGUGUAGGUGGUUUGACAAGUUGGUUGUGAAAUCCCCGGGCUCAACCUGGGAACUGCUUCCAAGACUGUCAGACUAGAGUACGGUAGAGGGCGGUGGAAUUUCCGGUGUAGCGGUGAAAUGCGUAGAUAUCGGAAGGAACACCAAUGGCGAAGGCAGCCGCCUGGGCCUGUACUGACACUGAGACACGAAAGCGUGGGGAUCAAACAGGAUUAGAUACCCUGGUAGUCCACGCCGUAAACGAUGGGUACUUGACGUCGGCAUGCUCUGCGUGUCGGUGUCGUAGCUAACGCGAUAAGUACCCCGCCUGGGGAGUACGGCCGCAAGGUUGAAACUCAAAGGAAUUGACGGGGGCCCGCAACAAGCGGUGGAGUAUGUGGUUUAAUUUCGAUGCAACGGCGAAGAAUGCUUACCCUGGGCCUUGACAAUGCUAAGGAAUCCUUGUAGAGAUUUGGGAAGGGCCCCAGAAGGGUGCCAAACACCCAGGGCGUGGCAUGGCCUGUCGUCAGCUCCGUGCCGUGAGAAUGUUCGGUUAAGUCCCGCCACCGAGCCGCAUCCCUUGCCCUUAAUUGCCCCACAUUCCAGUUGGAGCACUUCUUAGGG